AGAGUUUGAUCCUGGCUCAGAACAAACGCUGGCGGCGUGCCUAACACAUGCAAGUCGUACGAGAAAGUCCGCUUCGGUGGAUGAGUAAAGUGGCGCACGGGUGAGUAACGCGUGGAUAAUCUACCCUUUAGUCUGGAAUAACUUAUCGAAAGGUGAACUAAUACCGGAUAAUAUCCCGAUUUCUUCGGCGAUCGGGAUCAAAGAAGGCCUCUGCUUGCAAGCUUUCACUGAAGGAUGAGUCCGCGUACCAUUAGCUAGUUGGCAGGGUAAUGGCCUACCAAGGUUAUGAUGGUUAGCUGGUCUGAGAGGAUGAUCAGCCACUGGAACUGAGACACGGUCCAGACUCCUACGGGAGGCAGCAGUGGGGAAUUUUGGACAAUGGGCGCAAGCCUGAUCCAGCAAUGCCGCGUGCAGGAUGAAGGCCUUCGGGUUGUAAACUGCUUUUGUACGGAACGAAAAGACUCCUUCUAAUAAAGGGGGUUCAUGACGGUACCGUAAGAAUAAGCACCGGCUAACUACGUGCCAGCAGCCGCGGUAAUACGUAGGGUGCGAGCGUUAAUCGGAAUUACUGGGCGUAAAGCGUGCGCAGGCGGUGAUGUAAGACAGAUGUGAAAUCCCCGGGCUCAACCUGGGACCUGCAUUUGUGACUGCAUCGCUAGAGUACGGUAGAGGGGGAUGGAAUUCCGCGUGUAGCAGUGAAAUGCGUAGAUAUGCGGAGGAACACCGAUGGCGAAGGCAAUCCCCUGGACCUGUACUGACGCUCAUGCACGAAAGCGUGGGGAGCAAACAGGAUUAGAUACCCUGGUAG
rnacentral:rRNA from 1 species